CAGUCGAGCGAAUGGAUUAAGAGCUUGCUCUUAUGAAGUUAGCGGCGGACGGGUGAGUAACACGUGGGUAACCUGCCCAUAAGACUGGGAUAACUCCGGGAAACCGGGGCUAAUACCGGAUAACAUUUUGAACCGCAUGGUUCGAAAUUGAAAGGCGGCUUCGGCUGUCACUUAUGGAUGGACCCGCGUCGCAUUAGCUAGUUGGUGAGGUAACGGCUCACCAAGGCAACGAUGCGUAGCCGACCUGAGAGGGUGAUCGGCCACACUGGGACUGAGACACGGCCCAGACUCCUACGGGAGGCAGCAGUAGGGAAUCUUCCGCAAUGGACGAAAGUCUGACGGAGCAACGCCGCGUGAGUGAUGAAGGCUUUCGGGUCGUAAAACUCUGUUGUUAGGGAAGAACAAGUGCUAGUUGAAUAAGCUGGCACCUUGACGGUACCUAACCAGAAAGCCACGGCUAACUACGUGCCAGCAGCCGCGGUAAUACGUAGGUGGCAAGCGUUAUCCGGAAUUAUUGGGCGUAAAGCGCGCGCAGGUGGUUUCUUAAGUCUGAUGUGAAAGCCCACGGCUCAACCGUGGAGGGUCAUUGGAAACUGGGAGACUUGAGUGCAGAAAAGGAAAGUGGAAUUCCUUGUGUACCGGUGAAAUGC
rnacentral:rRNA from 1 species